AACGAACGCUGGCGGCAUGCCUAACACAUGCAAGUCGAACGAUGCCUUCGGGCAUAGUGGCGCACGGGUGCGUAACGCGUGGGAAUCUGCCCUUGGCUUCGGAAUAACAGUUAGAAAUGACUGCUAAUACCGGAUGAUGUCCCCCUGAGAGAUCUUGGGGACCACAGAUUUAUCGGCCAGGGAUGAGCCCGCGUAGGAUUAGGUAGUUGGUGGGGUAAAGGCCUACCAAGCCGACGAUCCUUAGCUGGUCUGAGAGGAUGAUCAGCCACACUGGGACUGAGACACGGCCCAGACUCCUACGGGAGGCAGCAGUGGGGAAUAUUGGACAGUGGGGGGAACCCUGAUCCAGCAAUGCCGCGUGAGAGAUGAAGGCCUUAGGGUUGUAAAGCUCUUUUACCAGGGAUGAUAAUGACAGUACCUGGAUAAUAAGCUCCGGCUAACUCCGUG
rnacentral:rRNA from 1 species